rnacentral:misc_RNA from 1 species
GAUGAAGAACGUAGCGAAAUGCGAUACGUAAUGUGAAUUGCAGAAUUCAGUGAAUCAUCGAAUCUUUGAACGCACAUUGCGCCCGCUAGUAUUCUGGCGGGCAUGCCUGUCCGAGCGUCAUUUCAACCCAUCAAGCUUAGCGCUUGUGUUGGAGCCCUGCGGCCGCCGCAGCCUCCUAAAAUCAGUGGCGGGCUCGCUAUCACGCUGAGUGCAGUAGUUUACUCUUCGCUCAGGGCGUGUGGCGGGUGCUAGCCGUGAAACCCCCAACUUCUCAAGGUUGACCUCGGAUCAGGUAGGAAUACCCGCUGAACUUAAGCAUAUCAAUAAGCGGAGGA